rnacentral:rRNA from 1 species
CCUACGGGUGGCAGCAGUGGGGAAUAUUGGGCAAUGGGCGCAAGCCUGACCCAGCAACGCCGCGUGAAGGAAGAAGGCUCUUUGGUUGUAAACUUCUUUUCUCAGGGACGAAGCAAGUGACGGUACCUUAGGAAUAAGCCACGUCUAACUACGUGCCAGCAGCCGCGGUAAUACGGAGGUGGCAAGCGUUAUCCGGAUUUACUGGGUGUAAAGGGUGAGUAGGCGGGAAAGCAAGUCAGAUGUGAAAACCAUGGGCUCAACCUGUGGCCUGCCUUUAAUACUGUUUUUCUUGAGUUCUGGAGAGGCAGACGGAAUGCCUGGUGUAGCGGUGAAAUGCGUAGAUAUCAGGAGGAACACCAGUGGCGAAGGCAGUCUGCUGGACAGCAACUGACGCUGAGGCGCGAAAGCGUGGGGAGCAAACAGGAUUAGAUACCCCAGUAGUC